CCCUUAGAUGUUCGGGGCCGCACGCGCGCUACACUGAAGGACUCAGCGUGUCUCUCCCCCUAUCCCGAAAGGGAUGGGCAACCCGUUGAACCUCCUUCGUGCUAGGGAUUGGGGUUUGCAAUUAUCCCCCAUGAACGAGGAAUUCCUAGUAAGCGCGAGUCAUCAGCUCGCGCUGAUUACGUCCCUGCCCUUUGUACACACCGCCCGUCGCUACUACCGAUUGGAUGGUUUAGCGAGAACUUUGGACCGGAGCUCGGGUGGUCAGCAAUGGCCGCCCGAGACAUACUGGGAAAUCGCUCCAGCUUGAUCAUCUAGAGGAAGUAAAAGUCGUAACA
rnacentral:rRNA from 1 species